UUAAGCAUAUCAAUAAGCGGAGGAAAAGAAACUAACAAGGAUUCCCCUAGUAACUGCGAGUGAAGCGGGAAAAGCUCAAAUUUAAAAUCUGGCGGCUUUUGGCUGUCCGAGUUGUAGUCUGGAGAAGUGCUUUCCGCGCUGGACCGUGUACAAGUCUCUUGGAACAGAGCGUCAUAGAGGGUGAGAAUCCCGUCUUUGACACGGACUACCAGUGCUUUGUGAUGCGCUCUCAAAGAGUCGAGUUGUUUGGGAAUGCAGCUCAAAAUGGGUGGUAAAUUCCAUCUAAAGCUAAAUAUUGGCGAGAGACCGAUAGCGAACAAGUACCGUGAGGGAAAGAUGAAAAGCACUUUGGAAAGAGAGUUAAACAGUACGUGAAAUUGCUGAAAGGGAAACGCUUGAAGUCAGUCGCGUUGACCAGAACUCAGCCUUGCUUUUGCUUGGUGCACUUUCUGGUUGACGGGCCAGCAUCAAUUUUGAUUGUUGGAUAAAGGCUGGGGGAAUGUGGCACCUUCGGGUGUGUUAUAGCCCUCGGUCACAUACAACAGUUGGGAUUGAGGAUCUCAGCACGCCUUUAUGGUCGGGGUUCGCCCACGUUCGUGCUUAGGAUGCUGGCAUAAUGGCUUUAAACGACCCGUCUUGAAACACGGACCAAGGAGUCUAACAUGCCUGCGAGUGUUUGGGUGGAAAACCCGAGCGCGUAAUGAAAGUGAAAGUUGAGAUCCCUGUCAUGGGGAGCAUCGACGCCCGGACCUGACCUUCUGUGACGGCUCCGCGGUAGAGCAUGUAUGUUGGGACCCGAAAGAUGGUGAACUAUGCCUGAAUAGGGUGAAGCCAGAGGAAACUCUGGUGGAGGCUCGUAGCGAUUCUGACGUGCAAAUCGAUCGUCAAAUUUGGGUAUAGGGGCGAAAGACUAAUCGAACCAUCUAGUAGCUGGUUCCUGCC
rnacentral:rRNA from 1 species